rnacentral:rRNA from 1 species
GAUGAACGCUGGCGGCGUGCCUAAUACAUGCAAGUCGAGCGAACAGAUAAGGAGCUUGCUCCUUUGACGUUAGCGGCGGACGGGUGAGUUACACGUGGAUAACCUACCUAUAAGACUGGGAUAACUUCGGGAAACCGGAGCUAAUACCGGAUAACAUAUUGAACCGCAUGGUUCAAUAGUGAAAGGCGGCUUUGCUGUCACUUAUAGAUGGAUCCGCGCCGUAUUAGCUAGUUGGUAAGGUAACGGCUUACCAAGGCAACGAUACGUAGCCGACCUGAGAGGGUGAUCGGCCACACUGGAACUGAGACACGGUCCAGACUCCUACGGGAGGCAGCAGUAGGGAAUCUUCCGCAAUGGGCGAAAGCCUGACGGAGCAACGCCGCGUGAGUGAUGAAGGUCUUCGGAUCGUAAAACUCUGUUAUCAGGGAAGAACAAAUGUGUAAGUAACUGUGCACAUCUUGACGGUACCUGAUCAGAAAGCCAUGGCUAACUACGUG